AUGACCAUUCAUCAUUCACUGCACCCUCACAGUGAUGUUGACCGGCUCUAUCUGCCUAGAAGAUCAGGGGGCAGAGGACUCUUGCAAGUAAAAGAAGCAGUCAAAGAAGAAGAACAUGCCCUGGCAGAAUAUGUAAAGCAAAGUGAAGAACCUGCUUUGAUUGAAGUCAAAAAUCAGAAACUCCUCAAAGCACAGCAGACAAAAAACCAGUACAAGAAAACCGCACUACAAACUAGAGCUGACAGCUGGCACAACAAAACACUGCAUGGAAAGUUCCUUGACAGAAUUGAAGGAAAAGCUGAUAAGGAGAAGACCUGGCUCUGGCUCACGAAUGGGACCCUGAAGAAGGAGACAGAAGGCCUGAUCCUUGCAGCCCAGGAGCAAGCCAUCAGAACAAAUGCAAUCAAGGCCAAGAUCGAAAAAUCAGCUGAUGACCCAAAAUGCAGACUGUGCAAGGAAACCGACGAAACCAUUGAUCAUAUCCUCAGCUGCUGUAAGAAAAUUGCACAGACAGACUACAAACAGAGGCACAACUCUGUGGCCCAAAUGAUUCAUUGGAACGUAUGCCUCAAGUACCACCUCUCUGCAGUAAAGAACUGGUGGGAUCACAAACCUGCAAAGGUUGUGGAAAAUGAACACACAAAGAUACUGUGGGACUUCCGAAUCCAGACUGACAAAGUUCUGGAACACAACACACCAGACAUCACAGUUGUGGAAAAGAACAAGGUUUGGAUCAUUGAUGUCGCCAUCCCAGGUGACAGUCGCAUUGACCAAAAACAACAGGAAAAACUCAGCCGCUAUCAGGACCUCAAGAUUGAACUUCAAAGACUCUGGCAGAAACCAGUGCAGGUGGUCCCGGUGGUGAUGGGCACACUGGGUGCCAUGCCAAAAGAUCUCAGCCGGCAUUUGGAAACAAUAGACAUUGACAAAAUCACGAUCUGCCAACUGCAAAAGGCCACCCUACUGGGAUCUGCACGCAUCAUCCGAAAAUACAUCACACAGUCCUCGACACUUGGGAAGUGUUCGACUUGUGGUUUUGUGAAACGAAAUCCAGCAUAUCUAUCUUGUUUGCUGUGUCAUACAACGUCGUUGUGUCAAUAA
rnacentral:lncRNA from 1 species